rnacentral:lncRNA from 1 species
CAAAAUACAGUGAAUUCACUUAAUAAUUAUUAUGAUUUCAAGGACUGCUACAUAGGAAUUAAAAGAUCAGAAUUCCCACUUGUGAGGUCUAAAAAAAGCAGUCAGAAUUUUGAUAAAGAUAUUCCAAAAAAUCCAGAAUUUACAAUGUACUGUCCUAAGUUUAUGGUAUAUUUUUAAACUUUCAUCCUGGUCUUCUAGCAGCUUCUGUUUCAAAACCUAAAGAAUUCUGGGCAAUUGCAUUGUUCCUACACCAAAGUGAAAGUAUGGUGGCAAAGUGAUGUUAGUAGUUCCACUACUGAAUCAGACACUCCCCUGCCAACAACACUGAGGUUGUUAGUAUGAAUCUAGGACAUGUCAGGGGCAAUUGACUCCCCUGUCAACAACACUGAGGUUGUAAGUAUGAAUCUAGGACAUGUCAGGGGCGAUUGACUCCCCUGUCAACAACACUGAGGUUGUAAGUAUGAAACUAGGACAUGUCAGGGGCGAUUGACUCCAAUCUUAAUUGACUAGGAUUGCCCGUUAAUAUGAAUCUAGGACAUGUUUAAUUGAACCGUAGGACAUUCAGGGCGAUUGACUCCAAUCUUAAUUGACUAGGAUAGCCAGUUUUCCUAAUGAAGGUCAGUAAACUUCUCCAGGCACUCUGGCUUCCUCCACCAAAAAAAACAAAAAAAACUGGCUGCAACAAAAUAGCCCAAAAGCGGCAUUAAAACACCAACAAUAAAUUGUAUUACAUUAAAAAAAAUCAGAUAUUCAUUCAUUCAUCAAAAUUUGUAAAGAUUAUUGCUCAUUUUUCAACACAUAGUAAUAACAAUUGAUUUAUGUAUUGUUAUCCCUUUCAUCAAAAGAUGUUAUGUGAUUGUUAUAGUAAUCAAAGGUACCAGGAUUUGAUACGCCAGACACACGUUUAUGACACUGCUCAUUUAUACAUUUUUCAUUUAUGAAUUUCAUAUAAAUUUAGAUUUCACACCCAGAUUGUUUUCUGCGAAAUUGUGAAAGGUUAUGCUAAAUGUCACAUAAAUAUUUACUCUCUUUUUAUAUUAGUUGUGAUUUAUUGGGGUCGGGAUGGGGUUAGUUUUCUUGUUUAAAUUGUUUUACAUUGUCAUUUAUGUCAUUUAGGGCCUUUUAUAGCUGACUAUGCUUUAUGGGCUUUGCUCAUUGUUAAAGGCCGUACAGUGACUUAACGUUGUUAAUUUCGGUGUCAUUUUGGUCUCAUUGGCAAUCAUACCACAUCUUUUUUUUUCAUAUUUACAUAUUAGAAACUAAUGGGCAAAAUAUAGAGAUUGAAGGGACUAAAUAAAAUAAGAAUAGAGAAAAUUAGACAAAAAAUUGUAAGGAUAGAGAAAAAUUGCCAAACAAAUUAAAGAAUAGAGAGAAAUUGUCAAUCAAAAAUAAAAGAUAACAAUAUUAAUGGCCCCUAAAAAUAUGUAAUAUGGAAAGUAAAUCUGCCCACUAAUCCACCACACCUUCAGAAGGGCAAUUUUGAUAUUAGAUGUUUGUAUGUAAAUUGUUUAAAAAAAAAAAAAGAGGUUACUACAGGAUAAUGCCAUUUUAAUAGCGUAUUGUUGGUGUAGGGUACAACAAGGCGGAAACUAAAAGAGAAAAAAAUGCGUGGUUGGAAA